CCUAGGGACAGGGCGGGCAUUUUUUCCGUAAAGAAUUGGCUUCUCCCUGAUGAGCCGUGUGCUUAGGUGCAGGUCCUGGGCUUCCCCCGUUACCACCUAGGCCUGCGUAGUACUUCUCACCAUAGGAUCGGCUCUCUCCUUGUCAAGGGUCGUGACCUGACUCAAGCCUUCCCGGUGACCUAGGGCACCUAUCAACUUCAGGACUAGCUACACCACGCAAUUCCGCCUGGUGGCCAAACAUCUCCCUUACCGGACCGGCCGUCCAGCUUUCCUGCACUGCGUUCCCGCUCCAGCAGCGGGCCACACCCCCUGCAGCCCCGGCCCCGCCCACCUUGGUUUCUGGAGCACUUCCGGUCGGUAACCCGGGUCAAGGGUCCCCGGCCGAGGACCAGGGCUUGCCCGUCCGAGGGCAGGAAGAUGGGGGGCGCACUCCCAGGGGGGCUCUCCAGCCACAGGCGGCCCUGGGGCUCCACCUCGGCCAUCCCUAGCGCCGGCCUAAGGGGAAGUAGGUAAACAGGUUUGAUUGACAGAACGCCCUCAAAUUGCCACAGGAAGUCCCUCCUCCUCCCUCCCCGUCCACCAGGAAUUUCCCUUCUUCCGCUGAAGGGCCCGGAAAUCCCACCCUCUUGCCGGCCUCAGGCUCGCGCCGUUUCCCAGGCGACGACGCCCCGCUCAGUCUUGCAGCGAGCCCGGACCCCUGCGUCCGAAGGCAAAAGCCAAGAACCUCGCGCGCGCCCUCAGCCCGGCCCACGCUCACCAUGCCGGACCGGGGCUCACCUGCCACUUGCGACCAGGGAAGUCCGGCCCGAGGCGCUCUGCCCGCAACUCCACCGGCUUCUUUCUCUGUUUCUCGGCGGACGGAAAUGACUCGUCGUACGGGAGGGGGCAGGGCCUUGGCUCCUCCCACUACAGGAGCCCCGCCCCUCUCCAGACCUGCCCCUGUGGUCCUCCGGUGCUCUGACCUUCAUCUCUCCCGCAGCAAUGGACGGCUCGGGCCAGUAGGGGGUGUGGGUCUUCUUUUCGCAGAUUUUCUUUCCACGUUGAACUCUGUAACAUUCAUUCCCUUAGUUAUAGCGGGAGAAACUUUUUUUCCAUUUGAUGAUCAUUGCCAGUCCAAGAAAUCUCCUCCCCCGACAGCAGCCCUGACCCUCAAUACUUCGAUUUUCUCAUCUGUAAAGUGGGGAUAAUCGUUUCCAUUCAUGGGGUUACUAGGAAGAUUAAAAGAGUUAAUACAUGUUAAUAACUUUAUAAAAUUGUUUGGCUGGUA